rnacentral:rRNA from 1 species
UUGGCCGGUGCUUCUUCUGUACCUACCGUCACUUGCGCUUCGUCGGUACUGAAAGAGGUUUACAACCCGAAGGCCGUCAUCCCUUACGCGGCGUUGCUGGAUCAGGCUUCCGCCCAUUGUCCAAUAUUCCCCA